ACACAGAAAAGUUACACAACUUGCUUUGGUCCCCCCAGCUAGGAAGAGGAAAAACUGGGACUUGAAGCCAGAAAAUCCAGCUCUUCACACCAUGCUGGUUAAUUCCCACAGCAAGCCAUUGUGUAGAUGUCUCUUCCUUAGGAGGAAUUGGAACUGAGGGACGUGAAGUAACUUGCACUUGCCUUCUACCACACGCAGAUACGGAGGAUUUCGGAGGAAACAGUGUUAUUGGAAUUUUGGGCUUUGUGGAUGCUAGUUUUCUCAAAAAUUCGAAAAUAUUAUUAUACUUGAAACAUGGAAUUUUACAAUAGAGAGAGAAAGAGAGAGAGGUAUUAAAGAAGAUAAACACACUCAAGGGCCUGCACAGAGAGGUAGAAUUCCUGCACAUAAAGGAACAAGAAAAACCAGACAUAGGAGACAUGCUUCACAGGCUGAAGACAUCCUUCCCUCUGCAUAUGCGACUCUUCCAGAAUUUUGAGGAAACCUGGACGUGCUAUUUGGGGAACUAGGAUGCCCCUGGUUCUGCAGUGCCAUUACUACAAGACUGGUGGCGUGGCUGGCUUUUGGAGAAGGUUGAGGAUAUGGCAGUAAUUGUAGCAAAGCCAAAAAAUAUCUCCACCUGGGUGUGAGACAUCAAUUUACCUGGAAGUGUAUCAACCUUUCUCCAUGAUGGGAAACUUUUUCUUCAUGAGCAGGGUUUCUUCUAAAGCCCUGAGCUCCUUUGUUACUGUUCAGGCUUUAUUACAUAUGGUUCUACAUCAAGAUAUUUUAAAAUCCUAAAUUUCCCUAAGCUAAUUUAAAUUCAAAGAAUAUAAAUAGACUAUCAACUAUGUCAAAGGUGUCAAGUUAAUGACACCUUCCUACUUUUGUAUCAAUAGGAAAACUCUACGUUCAUCAUUUACAGAGUAAAAUUAAACUUUAUAGUAAGUAGUUUAACUCACUAUCCCAGGACAGAGAAGUUUUAUUUCAUCAAUGUAUUUUGAAUAAAUCAAUUAAUUUUCUGCUCUCAA